rnacentral:tRNA from 1 species
GGCCCUUUAGCUUAGUGGUGAGAGCGAGCGGCUCAUAACCGCCAGGUCGCUGGUUCAAAUCCAGCAAGGGCCA